GACGAACGCUGGCGGCGUGCUUAACACAUGCAAGUCGAGCGGAAAGGCCCUUCGGGGUACUCGAGCGGCGAACGGGUGAGUAACACGUGAGUAACCUGCCCCAGACUUUGGGAUAACCCUCGGAAACGGGGGCUAAUACCGGAUACGACACAGCUUCGCAUGGGGUCUGUGUGGAAAGUUUUUCGGUUUGGGAUGGGCUCGCGGCCUAUCAGCUUGUUGGUGGGGUGAUGGCCUACCAAGGCGACGACGGGUAGCCGGCCUGAGAGGGCGACCGGCCACACUGGGACUGAGACACGGCCCAGACUCCUACGGGAGGCAGCAGUGGGGAAUAUUGCACAAUGGGCGGAAGCCUGAUGCAGCGACGCCGCGUGAGGGAUGACGGCCUUCGGGUUGUAAACCUCUUUCAGCAGGGACGAAGCGUAAGUGACGGUACCCGCAGAAGAAGCGCCGGCCAACUACGUG
rnacentral:rRNA from 1 species